rnacentral:lncRNA from 1 species
ACCAAUAUUAGAGUAAUUCCCCCUUACCUUAAUUUCCAAUAGAAAACUCAAAGUCUUUUACUAUGAUGUUCUUCACGUUCAAGAGUUUCUUAGGUUUGUCUCUUUUCCACUUUUCACAGCUUUUAUGUACCAACACACUAACCUAGUUUCCUCAUUUAUUUAAAUGAAAAACCUAAUUCCAUGAUUCUAAAUAUUUCAC